rnacentral:rRNA from 1 species
AGAGUUUGAUCAUGGCUCAGGACGAACGCUGGCGGCGUGCCUAACACAUGCAAGUCGAGCGAGAAAGCCUGCUUCGGCAGGUGAGUAAAGCGGCGCACGGGUGAGUAACGCGUAGGAAUCUACCCAUAGGACUGGGAUAACACCUCGAAAGGGGUGCUAAUACUGGAUAAGCGCACUUUAAGUGUGAAAAGGCCGUAAGGUCACCUAUGGAUGAGCCUGCGUCCCAUUAGCUAGUUGGUAGUGUAAAGGACUACCAAGGCGAUGAUGGGUAGCUGGUCUGAGAGGAUGGUCAGCCACACUGGAACUGGAACACGGUCCAGACUCCUACGUGAGGCAGCAGUGGGGAAUAUUGCGCAAUGGGCGAAAGCCUGACGCAGCGACGCCGCGUGAGUGAAGAAGGCCUUCGGGUUGUAAAGCUCUGUCAGGAGGGAAGAAGGAGCGUAAGCUUUGACGGUACCUCCAGAGGAAGCUCCGGCUAACUCCGUGCCAGCAGCCGCGGUAAGACGGGGGGAGCGAGCGUUGUUCGGAAUUACUGGGCGUAAAGGGUGCGUAGGUGUCUUGCUAAGUCAGUAGUCAAAAGUCAUGGCUCAACCAUGGUACGGCUAUUGAAACUGGCGAGAUAGAGUGUGGUAUAGGAGAGCGGAAUUCCCGGU